CUUUUUAACAGAUGAAACGGAGGCACACAGAGGCUUGGGGCCUUAUCGCAGGUCACACGUCACGUCAGUGGAGCUGGGCUGGGGCAGGUGGCACCUGCAGGUAAAUUUCUAUGUGGUCUGCAAGCCCCGCAGGGACAUGGGUUUUAACCUAUAAGGAUAAUGCAGGUCAGCCAUGGAAAGUGACCGAGGGAAGAUGAGAGCCAGGAUGCAGAGUGCAGUGUGGAUUGGAGGGACGGAGACCAGAGUCUGGGUCUGGACUCGGCAGCAGGAGCUUGAUGAGUGGAAAUGCUUUCUGUGGGUGCUCCCACCAGCUGAGCUUUGGCAGGAAGACUCAGAGAAAACCUGUAAGGAAAAAAAAAAGUUCCUGCAAGAUGGAGGUCAAACUGGUUCCAGCAUGCUUCUGCUCCCAGGUGGCCUAGAGGUGGAAGCUAUUCGGAUGAAAACACUGUUCCACACUAAAUUCUCUCAGCUUGAAGUUACCCAAUUCCACAGGCAAGAGAAGCCUGACUCUUCACAGGCUGCACACUCCCUUUAAUUUGAGCAAGUGACCUAAGUUUUGCCUAUUCAUUGAUAUUUUGCCAAAUUCUAGUAUUUUAAGGAGUAUGACCUGAAACCAGACAAGUUGGCACAUGCAUGUAAUCUUAGCACUCAGGAGGCUGAGGCAAGAGGACCACAGUGAGAUCCUAUCUCAAAAAAAAAAAAAAAAAAAGACCCAAUGACAAAGAAUAUAGAUGUCCUGCAUUUGUGCUCCCUUUCUCACAUUCUCUAGCCUUUUCCCUAUUAGAAUCAGUUAAUAUUUGGUUGUUUUACACACUACAAAAUCAAGUAAGGGGUAGAAGAAACAGGAAGUGCCAGAU
rnacentral:lncRNA from 1 species